rnacentral:lncRNA from 1 species
AAGCAUUCUUAAACUGCUGAGCGGCCCUCUAGGUGUUCUUUGCUGGGGCAGGGGAGUUAGCAGGGAGGAAGUGGAGAGAACUGGGAGAGUUGAGACCCUCCUUCUGAGCGUUAAGCUGCAUGUAGAUAAUAUCUGCAGGUGUGGCACAAUUGAAAAGGCAGUGGCUUUCAGGCUAGUCACUGCACGGACUAGUAAGGCAGCUCUCUUGCUCCCAGCACCGUGCAUCUGAUUCUCCGUUCUCAGGAUCACUCAGAAGAGGAUCAGCUGCUGAUCAUACGUCUGACUCAGCUAUAUCUCAUUGCUAUGGCUCUUGGCCACAAGAUAUCUGACUCUGUGUCACCAGCCUAACAGAAGAUCACAUUGUGCUGCCAAAGCACAGAACACACCCAGCUUCUUGGAUUUCAUCUGUCUUGCAUUUCCUUAUGUAUCAGUUACAGGAAAAGCAGCAACUGAAAUACAGCUCUCAAAUGCUCUGGAUGGCUUCUGUAACAAGUGCCCAGACCUUGGCACAACUGACUCCAUGAUUGAAGUACCAUUCAGGCCAUUAAACUCAGCACAUAGAUGGUACCACCUGCCAAAAUGAAAACAAAGACCUGAUCCAUCAAAGUCCAUAGUGAUGGAAAUGCCCCUAAAUGACUAACCUUGCUCUUUUUUACUUCUUUAAUUCUGCUUCUGACUAAAUGUGCUUGUUAACUGAAGUGUGUCAACCCGGGAUUUUUUUUUUUUCAUAAAGGCUUGGUGGUACACUGGGAUCCUGAAUACCAAGUAUGCUCUCCAGCCAGCUGAUAAAGAUUUCUAUUGGCUUAAAUUUUAAUCCAGGCAGUGUUCUCUGUUGGAUACCCCACAAUAAUUUCCAUUAGCUUUUAUGUAGAAAUUCUACUUCUCCAAAGAAACCCUGUCUCGAAAAAAAAAUUUUUAAUUAAAUAAAUAAAUUCUACUUCUCUGGUGGACCUUCAUAGGAGCUGAUGCCAGGAGUAACUUAGACACUCCUUUCCCCUGCAUCCAGGGUCCUGACCCUUGGGCCAGCUCAAUGCUUAAUGGUUCUAAAAUACAACAAAAUAGGCAAUCAACAUUGUAUUGACUGGCAGCUCACAGCUUCUUACCCCUGUGACAGAAAAAUAAAAUAAAAAUUAAAAAUCCCCAAACAGAAAGCCAGGUUAAUGGACAACCCACCACUGAGACACCUUCUUUUGAGACAACAUAAAACUUCAGCUUACUGUUAGCCACUCACUGCACUCCAGACAUAGUAAUGACACAUUUCAGUAAAUGUUCUAAUUUAGCCAAUGAAGCUGAGACUAAUAGUUUCGCCUUCCAGAUGAGCUUUUGGGCAAGAGGUUAAUAUGUCUAAGUUCCCCGAAAGUGGAAGAAGAUAUAGUCAAAUGAUCUGCUGGAAACUUCUGUAAAAACAAGAAAAAGUAAGACGAACAAAGGUCAAAACUUACUGCCAAGGGCUCAACUAGUUUAAAAUCUUUCGGUUUCUACCUUACUAAUAUAGUUCUUAUGUUAAAAGUUACCUGUAAAUGAGUCAUGGGGUUAUAAAGAUAUGAAUAAUCACUUAACAUCCACUCACCUCUAGAUUGUUACCAGCCACGGUGCCAGGAGGGCCACAGUUACCCUGUAUGAGGGUCACCUGAAACUGAAAAUCACACUUGUUUUUGGCUUGUUCUGAGAAGUCAGAAAAGGCAAUAAUUUUCUCUGUGAGUACUGAUAGAAGAAAAUUCAGAGUCAAGAACUUGGGUUAGGAAGUACUAGUAUGAUUUACAGCUGAAAUAUCUGUAGGUGUCAGCUAAAUAGGAAAGUAAUUUAUAAGGUUGAGAAAAUACCUUCCAGUUUAAGGAAGUUUCAAAGAGAUAGAAGUGAAGCGAAUAUGUCUGAGACAUUACAGAAGCUUAAUUAAACACACAUUAUCAAAAGAAGGAAGACUAAAAAUAACUCCACGUAACUGUGUAAAUGUGAUGUCCGAGUCAAGUUGUCCUGAUUAGUUCCACAUGCAUCCCUAUGUCCAAUAACUGAUACAGUAUAAAUGAAGUUUUCAGUACUGAAGAUGAAAUUGGGCCUUGUGAGAACUGUAUUCACAAGGUAUUCACCCAACCCAAUGCCAUUUGAGAUUCUAUGACCUGUGGCCCGAUUGCUCUGUAGGAAGUCGCAAUGUGAAGGAAGGGGGCACAUGGCUAGAGUUGUGGUAACGCCAUUUAGAAAGGAGAUUUGCUUCUUUCUCCCAACUUUUGACAUUAAGGAUCUGUUCAGAAGACAAAAAUUAGUGACUAAUUG